ACGCCUAUCUGAAUCGCAUCACCUCGUCAAUCAUUCGUCGUAACAGGUAGAACAUUUCAGGAGCCGUUUUAUCAUUAAAUCACAUGCAGAUAAAAAACACGAAAAUUGUUAUAUUAUAUACAUUUUUUACUUUUUUCAAGACACAAGGCUACGAGAAUGGAUUUAAUCUUUUUAAUACUAAGCGAAUUGUUCGUUCUUUUAAUAAUCUUUGCAAUUAUAUCGACAAUAUAUCAUCAAUAUGUUCUUCAACGAAACCUAAAAAACAUUCCUCAAGUCGGUAGAUUUCCUUUUGGCGUGGCAUUUGGAAUAUUGAAACUGGCAGAUUAUGAACGUGUACAAUGGUUUGAGCAACA